rnacentral:lncRNA from 1 species
CCUCCCUAAAUAUGGGUAAGUUCAUACCCUAUAAUAAUCUCCUGUGUAAAGUCACUGACCCAUUUCCACUGCUGCUCUCUCAUCUGCUGCUCUGAAGCCUAAACCAUGGUGCCCAGAAUCUUCGAUGCAACUCAUGAGAAGCUGGAGGACCUGGAGAAGCUGGCAACUCAAAAAGGCCAAAGGGUGCAGACAAUAAAAGCCCCAGACAAGCGUAUAGAACCACACGCCGUCUUUUUACUUGCCGUCCACUUGGGAGCCUACAUGUCCCAGGCUUCGUGUCAGACACCAGUGAUGCAGUGCUGAGUAGAAAACGCAAAGUCAGUGUCUUCGUGACGUUCAUGACAGUGAGAGGAGAGAGAGAGAGAGAGAAGGUGUGAGCCACCAUGCCCAGCCUAAAAAC